AACGAACGCUGGCGGCAUGCCUAACACAUGCAAGUCGAACGAGACCUUCGGGUCUAGUGGCGCACGGGUGCGUAACGCGUGGGAACCUGCCCUUAGAUUCGGAAUAACUCCCCGAAAGGGGUGCUAAUACCGGAUAAUGUCUUCGGACCAAAGAUUUUUCGCCUUUGGAUGGGCCCGCGUUGGAUUAGCUAGUUGGUAGGGUAAAAGCCUGCCAAGGAGACGAUCCAUAGCUGGUCUGAGAGGAUGAUCAGCCACACUGGGACUGAGACACGGCCCAGACUCCUACGGGAGGCAGCAGUGGGGAAUAUUGGACAAUGGGCGAAAGCCUGAUCCAGCAAUGCCGCGUGAGUGAUGAAGGCCUUAGGGUUGUAAAGCUCUUUUACCCGGGAUGAUAAUGACAGUACCGGGAGAAUAAGCUCCGGCUAACUCCGUG
rnacentral:rRNA from 1 species